CUCUGAGGGUACAGUCAAGUCCCGAGUCGAUCGGGAUUAUUCUUCCCCUCUAACAGGAGUUUACAAUCUUACGACAUUCAUCCUCCACGCGGCGUUGCUGGGUCAGGCUUUCGCCCAUUGCCCAAUAUUCCUC
rnacentral:rRNA from 1 species